CCUACGGGGGGCAGCAGUGAGGAAUAUUGGUCAAUGGACGCAAGGCUGAACCAGCCAUGCCGCGUGCAGGAAGAAGGCGCUAUGAGUUGUAAACUUCUUUUGUACGAGGGCAAAUCCCGACACGUGUACCUGGUUGAGAGUACCUUACGAAUAAGGAUCGGCUAACUCCGUGCCAGCAGCCGCGGUAAUACGGAGGAUGCAAGCGUUAUCCGGAUUUAUUGGGUUUAAAGGGUGCGUAGGCGGUUCGAUAAGUUAGAGGUGAAAUCCCGGGGCUCAACUCCGGCACUGCCUCUGAUACUGUCGGGCUAGAGUUUAGUUGCGGUAGGCGGAAUGUGUGGUGUAGCGGUGAAAUGCAUAGAGAUCAUACAGAACACCGAUUGCGAAGGCAGCUUACCAAACUACGACUGACGUUGAGGCACGAAAGCGUGGGGAGCAAACAGGAUUAGAUACCCGAGUAGUC
rnacentral:rRNA from 1 species